rnacentral:rRNA from 1 species
GCUUGUCUCAAAGAUUAAGCCAUGCAUGUCUUAGUGUAAAUAACUCUUAUGAAACUGCGAAUGGCUCAUUAAAUCAGUUAUCGUUUAUUUGAUGGUCCCUUACUACAUGGAUAACCGUAGUAAUUCUAGAGCUAAUACAUGCACAAAGGCCCGACUCACGAAGGGCUGUAUUUAUUAGAUAAAAAUCAACUUUGUUGGUGAAUCAUAAUAACUUCUCGGACCGCAUGGCCUCGUGCUGGCGGUGCUUCAUUCAAAUAUCUGCCCUAUCAACUGUCGAUGGUAGGAUAGAGGCCUACCAUGGUUGCAACGGGUAACGGGGAAUAAGGGUUCGAUUCCGGAGAGGGAGCCUGAGAAACGGCUACCACAUCCAAGGAAGGCAGCAGG